GCCGGGGGCCGUGGCGCGCGCCUUUAAUCCAUUCCACUGGGAGGCUGAGGCUGGAGGAGCGUUUGAGUUUAGGAGCUCUGAGCUGCUAUGGACUGUGUCGAUCGGGUGUACUUCUGGGGGAGCCCGGGACCACCAGGUCGUCUAAGGAGGGGUGCACCGGCCCAGGCCGGACACGGGGCAGGUCAAAGCCCCCGCGCCGCUCAGCAGUGGAGCAGACACUGCAGCACGGCCCGAGGAACACAGCGAGACCCAGUCUUU
rnacentral:SRP_RNA from 1 species